rnacentral:rRNA from 1 species
CAGUAGCCGCGGGAAUACGGAGGGGGCUAGCGUUGUUCGGAAUUACUGGGCGUAAAGCGCACGUAGGCGGCUUGGUAAGUUAGUGGUGAAAGCCCGGAGCUCAACUCCGGAAUUGCCUUUAAGACUGCCGAGCUAGCAGGUGAGAGAGGUAAGUGGAGUUCCGAGUGUAGAGGUGAAAUUCGUAGAUAUUCGGAAGAACACCAGUGGCGAAGGCGGCUCACUGGACCGACACUGACGCUGAGGCGCGAAAGCGUGGGGAGCAAACAGGAUUAGAUACCCCUGUAGUCCCUGUCUCUUAUAC